CGGGGCGUAGCGCAGCCUGGUAGCGCACUUGCAUGGGGUGCAAGGGGUCGUGAGUUCGAAUCCCACCGUUCCGACCA
rnacentral:tRNA from 11 species